UAUUAAAUGAAACUGAGACAGAAGGAAAUAUUAAGUGGAACUAAGACAUUGCUUGAAAAGAUUAGGUUGGGAAGAUAAAAAGCGAGAGAUUACAUAAUAUGUGUUAGUAUUGUGUUUCAAUUUGGGCUUUGUUGUUGCAUGAAAAAAAAUUUGCAAUUAGCUUGUAUUGUCUGGCAGAAUAUAUGUAAACUUUGUUGAAUUUUUG
rnacentral:misc_RNA from 1 species